GCGACUUGGACGGGGGGGUGACUCGGAACUCGGAUGCACCGUCCACCGGCCGCAGCUUCUGUGGGCUGGGACACUGAGUAUUGCUUCCCCUACCGUCAGUAAUCCUGGAGUUUCGGUUCUCAAAAAUGCGACUUAAUCGAGAAGAAUGACUGCCAUUACUUGGUCUCCUGACUUCCAGGACUCUGGUCUCCCCCGGGACCCAAACCAGGCUGGGAAAUGCGGCCGCGCCUCCCUGGCGUCCACAGCCCUGGAUUUGCAAGAGACAGAGUAUUCUAGCUGCGGGGUGGCGAAUAACCCAGAGUGGACGUGGGCAGGAAGUUCCCGUUGUGGCUCAGCGUUUUCCCAGCAUCACCUGUUGAAGAGACUGUCUCUUCCUUAUAGAGAGCUCUUCUUGGUCCCCUUCUCAAAGCAGGUGGCGCUACAACUCAAGGCUGUGGGCUGUUUUCCAGGGCCGCCGCCAGUGAGCUGGAUGAACCUGUGGACCAGACAAACACACACUUCAAAAAAAAUUCCAGUAAUCUUCCUAUUCAUUCAUUCUGAGAACUACUUUUGGACAAAUCAAGAAGUGAUAUGGUAGCAAGAACGGGGAUGGGAGGAGGAACAAAAAAAGAGAAGCAAGUACUUGGCUCUGGAUCGCUCAGCACCCGAGGGCCUCAGGUGUUAUUCCUCCUGCAGACAUGGUCCAGGAAUGUUCCCUCGAGACCAGGGCCUUCCUGCUUCUCUGCCUUCCAGGCUGUUUCGCUAUGAGCAUCCCCGGGAUCUUAAAUGGCACCGUGGCGGGGACGCUGGUGGUGAAGUGCAUGUACAGAGAAGGAGAGGAGGGUCACAGGAAAUUCUUGUGCCGGGGGCCUGACCGGAGACGCUGCGUCCGGGUCAUUGAAACGGCGCUUGGGGCAGGGCAGGAGGUGAGGCGAGGCCGAGUGACCCUGAAAGACAGCCCCUCGGAGCACAUGUUCCUCGUGGUCAUGAAGGAUCUGGAGGUGGGAGAUGCCGACACUUACUGGUGUGGGGUGGACAAAAAUGUCCCCCAGGUCCCGGUGGCAGUGACUGUUUUUCCAGGCUCAGGGACAGCAGCCGUGAGGACCACUGAGCUGUCGGCCAGCACGGGAAGCCAGCCUCUGACUGGCCAUGUGUCCAGCCCUGGCCUUCCUGCUUGGCCCUUCCUGCUCUCUGCCUCCUUCCUGUUCGUGGCUUUGCUGAAGACGGUUCUCUUCCUGAGCUUCGGCUAUGCUGCCAUUUGGCUGGCCUGGAUUCAGCGUCACCUCUGAGGGCGGUGGUCAGCCCAGGCCAGAGAACCCACGGCUACCAUCCCAGAGGCUCCCUGUCUGGUGACACUGCUCCUGGACUGUCUGCUCCCAGCUCAACCUGGACCCGUCCCUGGGAUGUGAAACUGGAAAUAAGCUGGUCCCCCUGGAGACUUCUGUGCCCGGGAGCUGAGUCACCAACCCCAGAUCCUGGCGCGGUGGACCUGGUGCUCCCAGCUCUGGACUUGGACGGAAGUGCAUUCAAACCAGUGGUGCCACUUUCUUACCCUGUGAUGCAGGAGAGUUAAUUUGAUGGCUCAUCGUCUGCUUCUCAGAUUGGUGUAUAAUUGAGCUAAUACACAGAGAGCACUGGCCACACAGGAGGAGCUCCCACCUGGAGUUGCCAGGACAGUUGCUGGUGUGCGCCCAGGGCAGCAGAGAUGGGGUGGGCAGGUGGGGCCAGGGUGGUGUGAUCCAAGCCUCCUGGGACUCCUGCUGUCUCCGGGCAGAGUGCGGGGCGGUGGGCUUAGCUCCUGAGGGCCAAGCCCAUGUCUAUCUGAACACACAAUGCCCAACGCACACUUGGUAAUGGGCGAAGGGGAUGAAGAAUGGAGGCUGAGCCUCAGAGGGCAGCUGGGAGCUCCACUCCCAUACGCAGUACAUGCUGGGAGGAAGGUUUCUUUGUGACAGGUUACAGAGAUGGGCUCAGCUCUUUGAGGGGCAGUGGCCAAGCAUGGAGGAAGCCAGAUCCAGACCCAACCCUCCUCCCCGCCCUUGUCCCUCUCUGUCCUCCACGUUCAGCGACCUCCGCCCUGGCAGGGAGUUCCUUUCUCCCUCUUAAGCCUCCGCCCUUGUGCCUUGGGUACAGAAGUGACAUCUCCUCUGUUCCUCUUCUUGGCCCCACCGCAUCCCCUGGAUUUGUGUGGCCUCUGGAAGAAUCACACACACCUUCUGUAGCUUCAUCCAGGCUGUUGGUAAACAUUCAGAAAGGGACCCCAUCGGACUUUAGAUGAAGUGAGUGAGCGUGAAGCACUAGGCUCAGUCUAGUGAUUUGCUUCUAAGGAAUAGGCAGCUGCAUCUGCUGUUAGGGUGCAGAAAGAUUCCGGCUUCGGUCUCGCUGGCUUUCACGUCUUUGCUGUGAUGGAAGACAGAUGCCAUGCUCUGAGCUGCCCUGUGCAGGUGCCCGGGUGGCAAGGAACUGAGAGAGGCUUCUGCCUAAGAGCCCGAACAGCCCUGAGUUCCGUGGGUCUCUGAACAACUGAAUCCUGCCAACAACCACACGAAGAAGCUGAGAAACGGACGCACCCUCGGUGGAGCCUUGAGCUGAGACCUCAGCCCCUAUGGAUGCUGACUGCAGCCUUGGGAUUAACCAAUAGGCAGAGGCGUGCACUCAACUGCCUUGAGAUUCCUGGGCGAUAAUAAAUAUUCAUUGUUUUACGCUAGGCUUUGGGGGUAAUUGUUCUAUAGCAACAGGUAGUUUUAUUCUGCUCCAGAGCAGGAAUGGGGUUUCUAACCUCAUUUUACCCUCUGCCUCCUCAGGGUCUGGCACAGCGAUGACACACAAGGAGCACAGGUGUUGGUCAAAGUGAAGCAGGUUGAAGUCACUGGUGAAUCUGGGAUAACGCCACCUGGGCGUGAGGUGGCGGUGGGGAGGGGGUGAUCACGUGCCCCUGUUUGACAUAGUAGGUCUCUCUCAUUGAGUUCUUGCUUGGCUCUAGGAGUGCCUGGAGCCAUGGCAAUGACUCUUAGCCAGAGUCUGAGGCCUGGACUCCGGGAAUGUCCCCGUAGGCACUGAUCUGUGAUGCUGUUGUGUGCACCUGAGGCAGUGGGUCAGGACAGAGCAGGUUGUCAGUAUUCUUUCAUGCCAGCAGGAAGGUUCAUGCACCAGGCACUUGGUGCCUGGUUUGUAGCUAUUUGAUCAGUCCCCUUUAGAACUCCUGACUCUAGGAGUUCCCGCUGUGGCGUGAUGGGGUCAGCAGUGUCUCUGCAGCGCCAGGAAGCAGGUUCGAUCCCCGGCCCGACACAGUGGGUUAAAGGAUCUGCGUUGUCGCAUCUGUAGCAUAGGUUGCAACUGCGGCUUGGAUCUGAUCCCUGGCCUGGGAACUCCAUAUGCCUCGGGGCAGCCAAAAAAAUAAAAAAAGAACUUCUGACUCCAAACUCCAGCAAGCUUCGCUGGGGCUGAGACAGCCCACCCACCCCACCCACCCUCCCCCGACCCCGCCGUGUCUCUGUGGCUUGCAGCUUCAGAGAAAGGCAGGUUUGUGAAACUCCUGCAGGAGAGGGAGGGUGAUGGGAAGCCCCCCACCUCUCUCGCCCUUGCUCACAGGUACUCCUCCCGCUCUCCCUGCACUGUGUCCUUUGCUGAAAUAAACCUUCGCCAGGAUGAUAACCUGUCAUUAAGUGUGUGAAUCCUUCCAGUGAAUCACCAAACUAGUGGGGGGUCAUAGUGUUUAGAAUGUAAAAGGGGUGCUCGUUGCUGUAAGGAAAAGGCAGUAGGCUCCGUUCCCCACCCUGGAUCCACUGUUUGGCAGACUAAUCCCCCCUUAAAGGGGCAUCGUAAUCCCAGAACCUUUGAAUAUUUAAAUUUCUGCAGCAAAAAGGACUUGGCUGAUGUGAUUGAUUUGUGGUGGGGAGAUUAUUCUGGAUUAGCUGGUGGGCCUAAUGUCAUCAAGGUGCUUCUAACACAGAGGCAGGAGGCUUAGAGUCAGAGAAGGGGAGGUGAUGGUGGAAGCAGAGGUGCGGGUGAUGAGGGGCCUCAGCAAAUGCUGGACGCCUCUAGGGAGGAAAAAGGCAAGGAUGCUGAUUUGGUACUUCCGACAUCCAGAACCAUAAGAGGGGUGUAGGGCCCUGCUCCUCUCUGUGUGACGCUAAAGAGACCAUCCGGGUCUAAGAUGCUUUGAGCUGUGGGGUGUAAUCCUUGGUCACAGCGAGACGAGAAACCACCCCCCAAGGGGACCUGCAGUGAUGACAGUGGGCAGGGACAGAGCUGGGGAAAGUCACAUGGCCGAGAACCAAGGACAGUGGGGGAUCCAGCAGGAAAGGUCCUCCUGGGGCUGAGGUUGGGUCAUCAAAUUCCCCCUUGUGGCUGCGGUUUGGGGUCAUUUUCCUUUUUAGCAGGAUCUUCCCCUUUCCUGACGACUUGGAAGCUUAAAAUGAAGAAACAGCCAAGGAAGGAAGCAGAUAACAGAAAACAUGGACAGGAAGUGAGAGUAUGGGGCCUGGAAUGCCUCGGUGAGAGCUCAGAAGACAAGGAUAUGAUUCUGCAUUUUACUGGAGUCUGGAGCCAGGGAGACAGGACCCGGGUCCGAGAGCAGCUCUGCCCCUUCUCUACCUCCAGGCUCCUCUCCUGUCACAGGUCCGAAAGCAGUGAGGGGCCAGGAGCGGGGCUGCCUGGCUGUGCAGUGUCGAUACACUCCUGGGUGGGAGUCCCACGG